UUGAUGGGUCUUACGCAAUAGAAAACUAUGAACCAUGUCAGGACGGGAACGUAGCAGCAUUAAGUAGAUCUUUUUAUGUGCCGUAAGGUCACCUAUCAUGAGC
rnacentral:SRP_RNA from 2 species